AAAUAGUAAUCUGUGACCUUUGGUGGUUACAACUGUUAUUUUAUAGUGUGUAGCGGCGCAAGAAAAUGGCAGACUUACGACGAUCGACUCGAAUUUUUUACGGAGCUCAUAGAGCUGUACCAAAGUUUUCCUUGCCUCUGGCAAGUAAAAUCUAAGGAUUACAGCGACCGAGACAAGAAAAAUCAGGCAUACACAGCUUUGGUCAAUAAGUACAAGAAAGUGUAUCCUGGAACAACAAAAGAAUUGAUCACCAAAAAUCAACUCAUUCCGAACAGUAUAUCACGAGGAGAGUGCGAAAGUAAGAGCACAUAUAAGAUCUGGUGUUGGAACAGAAUACAUUUAUGAAUCUUCUGUGUGGUACUUUAUUUUCCUUCUUUGAUGUCAGAGGCCAACACCCGAGAAGAUCACGAUGUAACAUAGAGGAUUCGUAAAAAGAGGAGUAUGAGGAACAAGAAUUAGUAAAUAAAGAAGACUCGCCAACAGAUGUUGAAUUUUCCACUUAUCUAACAUCAAGAGAGGGAAGAGUGGAACCUGUAACAAAAAGUGUAUCAAGCUGUGACACACCAACGCCCAGCGACCAGUCUUCUGUCAAGAGAAAGAGAAACCAGUUGAAAGAUAUAAUGCAGCUAUUGAUGUACUUAGACUGGCUGGUGGGAAACUAAAUGCCAUAUCGCAUAUUCUCAUGGAUGAAAUCACAGUAGGAUCAUCAGCAUAUGGAACAGUCUUGCAAGCAAUAUAGUUUAAAAAGUCAUUAAGUUAAAUGACAAAGUGGAAUGGUCCAAGAAGAGAGCCUUGUGGGAUACUCUCCUGAUUUUCUUUAGGUCUGAUCUUUCCUUUUUGACAUGCACUCAUUGUUGCCUGUUGUUUAG